rnacentral:lncRNA from 1 species
AUAUGUCUGUGUCUCACAAAAGAAGAAUAUAUCCAAUGUAAGGUGUUCGUUUUCCGUUUUUCGUUUUCUAUACUGAAGCAAAAGAUCUUGAAUUGGAAAAACAAGGUGUUUUCCGUUGUUUCAUUUUGGUUUUGGAAACAUAUCAAAUAAUGAGUGUUUUUUUUUUUUUUUUUUUUUUUUUCAUGUUUUUUGUUACAUAAUAAAAACAAAUGAUACACGGAUUUGUGUACCCUUCGUUCUUUGGUUAUUUAGUUUCAAAACCAAAUUAAAAAAAUUGAAUGUUUUUCUGUUUUAUCAAUUUAAAACCAGAAACAGGAAAACGGAAAAACCAAAUUCCAAAAAAAAAGAUGUAUUUCUGAUUUGUUUUAAGAUUAAGAUGAUCAAAAUACCAAUUGCAACAUAUUGUUUUGUUUGUUUUGUCUUUUUUUAAAAGUACAGUUGAUUCUAUAUCUAUACCGGAAAAUAUAUGAUUUUGGAACAAAAUAACCAAAGAAUUAUUUUUCUAGAAUUAAAGCAACUUUUUCCAAAUAAACCUAGUUCACUCACUGAUGCUUAAUGUUUUAAACAUUUUUUUUCUUCAGAUGCAUGUUUCAGUUUUCAAAAAAGACGUCAAACCUGAGGUGAGCUGCUGCACAACGUGCUGUAAGCAGUAUCACUGCCCCAUUUGCCCAAAACUACAGUCAUUUAAGUUAUUUAAAUUGGAGAAGCACUUUGAUGCCCAUGUGAAAAAUGCAAUAGCAUUUAAAGAUAUGUUGAUUUGCUGUUGCACUUUACAGUGCAGAGAUGUGAGUCAUAAGGAAGUACACCUCAAUAUGUGCAGCCGUGCCCAAUGCCUACCUACCUCUACUGAACCUAUCCCAGUCACUCCUUCUCCUUCCCAACCUGCUUCAACAGCUUCACCUGCACCAGUUCCCCCCCACUCUUUCACCUAAAGAACAGUCUAAAAUGGUCAAAUACCCUCACUGUAGCCUCUUAUUAUCCCGAAAAAAUGUCCCCUGCACAUAUCCAAAAGAAACACACACCAUCACCUUCAGGAGGAACCCGGGAGACAACGCUCCUCUCAUCAUCAAUGGUAACCUGGUGGAGAAAGUAUCGUCCUUCAGGUUCCUGGGUGUUCACAUCCAGGAGGAGCUGUCCUGGGCCACCAUUAGAGCCAUCCUCUCUGACCCCUCCCACCCUGCUCCCCUCAGAAGGAGAUAUGGAUCAAUCAAAGCUCCACCUCCAGAAUGGCAAACAGUUUGUAUCCAUGGGCCAUGAGAACCCUGAACAAAAUAUAACCUUUUUCCUCCCAUGACUCAAACUACAUGUGCAAUAAUCCACAUCAAAGUGCAAUACACUGAGCCAUAUUUAUUUAUAUUUAUACGUCUUUCCUUUUCCAGUAUUUUAUUUAAGUGUGUGUUUUAUGUCAUUCUUGGAGAGCACCUUAAUGUUGUACAUACAGUAUGUACAAUGACAAUAAAAGCUUCUAUUCUAAAAGGGAGUUUUUUCUC